CGAAACUAAUAGGAAUACAGAUUGAUUGUCUUCAGUAGCUUUGGACUUUCACUUAUUUCACUUAUUUUAAGUCUUUCCUCUAACUGAUGUGAAAAAUUCUUGUAUCAUUUAAGCUUUGUGUUCUCAUUUUUAGGUAAUGCCGUAAUGGUUUAUUGUUUAUUAAGCAAACUCGGCCCAUUCCUCUACACGAGGGAACCCGUGGCCUGGCAGGAACCCUUCUUUGUCACCAUCUCUCUCUUCUCUCUCUCUCUGCAAAUCUAUGCGUUGUCCAUUAGUCUGGACUUUGUGUUCGUCUUCUAACGGCUCCUUACUUCCAAAAUGUCCAAUACCCUAAUCAGAAAUCUUCUUUUUCUGGUACAAAAACGUUUUCUGCAAGCAUCUGCAAUACCCUUCUCUUCCACCUCUCCAUUGCGCGCCUCCACUUCCUCUUCGUCAUUAACAGCCUUGUGAACUCUUUUGGGAAUCCCUUAGAAUCUGCUCUUUCAGACUCCCUGAAGUGUCAGCUCGACGAGAAUAACCUACGGAGACCUCAGUCUGUACUGGAAGUCUUGAAAACUCACAACUUCAGUGAUACCCAUGUGGCCAGAUUGAUCGCAAAGCGGCCCGCAGUCCUCCAUUGCAGCGUGGGCAAUAAUCUCCAGCCUAAAUUUGAGUGCCUCAUGAAAAAUGGCUUUGUAGGUGAGCUUCUGCCUGAGCUUAUUGUGUCAAAUCCGACAAUUUUGAGAAGAGCUUUAGAUACUCAUACUAAACCAUCUUUUGAGUUAUUGAGGUCUUGUCUUUACGGUAAUGACAAAAUUGUAGCGGCUAUUAAGCGUUUUGACGUUUGAUUUGAAGGGUACAAUGCAACCAAAUGUGGAUUUCUUAAUAAAAGAGGGUGUGCCUCCUCACAGAGUGGGAAAAAUUAUUACGUUGCAGCCGAGGGCUAUAAUGCAAAAGCAUCAUAAUAUGGUUUAUGCAGUGAAUGCUGUUAAAAAUCUGGGCCUUCAACAACGUCUCGAAUGUUUGUACAUGCU
rnacentral:misc_RNA from 1 species